UACGGGGGGGGCAAGCGUUGUUCGGAAUUACUGGGCGUAAAGGGCUCGUAGGCGGCCAACUAAGUCGGAUGUGAAAUCCCCAGGCUUAACCUGGGAAUUGCAUCCGAUACUGGAUGGCUUGAAUCCGGGAGAGGGAUGCGGAAUUCCAGGUGUAGCGGUGAAAUGCGUAGAUAUCUGGAGGAACACCGGUGGCGAAGGCGGCAUCCUGGACCGGUAUUGACACUGAGGCGCGAAAGCCAGGGGAGCAAACGGG
rnacentral:rRNA from 1 species